AGUGAACGCUGGCGGUAGGCCUAACACAUGCAAGUCGAACGGCAGCACAGUAAGAGCUUGCUCUUACGGGUGGCGAGUGGCGGACGGGUGAGGAAUACAUCGGAAUCUACUUUUUCGUGGGGGAUAACGUAGGGAAACUUACGCUAAUACCGCAUACGACCUACGGGUGAAAGCAGGGGAUCUUCGGACCUUGCGCGAUUGAAUGAGCCGAUGUCGGGUUAGCUAGUUGGCGGGGUAAAGGCCCACCAAGGCGACGAUCCGUAGCUGGUCUGAGAGGAUGAUCAGCCACACUGGAACUGAGACACGGUCCAGACUCCUACGGGGGGCAGCAGUGGGGAAUAUUGGACAAUGGGCGCAAGCCUGAUCCAGCCAUACCGCGUGGGUGAAGAAGGCCUUCGGGUUGUAAAGCCCUUUUGUUGGGAAAGAAAAGCAGCAGGUUAAUACCCCGCUGUUCUGACGGUACCCAAAGAAUAAGCACCGGCUAACUUCGUG
rnacentral:rRNA from 1 species